GCAGUCGUGGCAGAGUGGUUAAGGCGAUAGACUAGAAAUCCAUUGGGGUCUUUUCGUGCAGGUUUGAAUCCUGUUGACUGCG
rfam:Ixodes scapularis strain Wikel colony gcontig_1108378966436, whole genome shotgun sequence.